CCCCCUUUAAAUUUGCAUUACGUCCUUAUCACUGUCAUUGAAGUACCCUUUUCACAAGCGUUGGUAGCAUACUUGUAACUAUUGUGGAGACUUGCGAGCAUAACUACCGCUCUCGUCGUUCACAACGGGGCCAAUCUUCAAGUCAACGACUAAAACGCUAAGGAGAAGCUACUAUGUGACAUCCAUAUGAGACAGUAUUCUCCCUUAAUCUCAUAUAGUCGAGAAGAGUCACAAAGUCACCAUAGCAGCCGAUGCUUCAAAACCUAAUGCUGCAAUUUGUAAUUUAUUUAACAAAUUUUGAAAUUAAUCUACUUUAAUAAAUAAAAAUUAUGCUAAAAUUUACUUUUUCAUGUAUGAAGAAGAAAAUAAAUUAAUCCCCCUUUAAAUUUGCAAUAACGUCCUAAUCACUGUCAUUAAAGUGCCUUUUUUACAAGCUUUGGUAACAUACUUGUAACUAUUGUGGAGACUAGCGAGCAUAACUACCUCUCUCGUCUUUCACAUUGGAGACAAUUUGUGCAUGCAGUGAUUAAAACGCUACGCAGAAGUUUCUAUGUGACAUCCAUUUAAAACAUUGCUUUUUGUCUUAUAUAUGUAGUCGAGAUGAGUCACACAGUCAAUCCCAGUAACCGUUGUGAUUGAUUAAGAAAUGGUCUUUUUCCUAAUUGUAAAUAUUAAUUUUACUUCUACAUGGCAAAGAUGCUUUUCAUUUCCUAUUAUUCUAUACUUAACACUUAACAAUUACAAUAUUCCAAUACACUGAAACACUUAAUCCACACUGUUUAGU
rnacentral:lncRNA from 1 species